rnacentral:rRNA from 1 species
AUUGAACGCUGGCGGCAGGCCUAACACAUGCAAGUCGAGCGGAUGAAGGGAGCUUGCUCCUGGAUUCAGCGGCGGACGGGUGAGUAAUGCCUAGGAAUCUGCCUGGUAGUGGGGGAUAACGUCCGGAAACGGGCGCUAAUACCGCAUACGUCCUGAGGAAGAAAGUGGGGGAUCUUCGGACCUCACGCUAUCAGAUGAGCCUAGGUCGGAUUAGCUAGUUGGUGGGGUAAAGGCCUACCAAGGCGACGAUCCGUAACUGGUCUGAGAGGAUGAUCAGUCACACUGGAACUGAGACACGGUCCAGACUCCUACGGGAGGCAGCAGUGGGGAAUAUUGGACAAUGGGCGAAAGCCUGAUCCAGCCAUGCCGCGUGUGUGAAGAAGGUCUUCGGAUUGUAAAGCACUUUAAGUUGGGAGGAAGGGCAGUAAGUUAAUACCUUGCUGUUCUGACGUUACCAACAGAAUAAGCACCGGCUAACUUCGUG